rnacentral:rRNA from 1 species
GCGGUGCAUUAGCUAGUUGGUAAGGUAACGGCUUACCAAGGCAAUGAUGCAUAGCCGAGUUGAGAGACUGAACGGCCACAUUGGGACUGAGACACGGCCCAAACUCCUACGGGAGGCAGCAGUAGGGAAUCUUCCACAAUGGACGCAAGUCUGAUGGAGCAACGCCGCGUGAGUGAACAAGGUUUUCGGAUCGUAAAGCUCUGUUGUUGGUGAAGAAGGAUAGAGGUAGUAACUGGCCUUUAUUUGACGGUAAUCAACCAGAAAGUCACGGCUAACUACGUGCCAGCAGCCGCGGUAAUACGUAGGUGGCAAGCGUUGUCCGGAUUUAUUGGGCGUAAAGCGAGCGCAGGCGGAAGAUAAGUCUGAUGUGAAAGCCCUCGGCUUAACCGAGGAAUUGCAUCGGAAACUGUUUUCUGAGUGCAGAAGAGGAGAGUGGAACUCAUGUGUAGCGGUGGAAUGCGUAGAUAUAUGGAAGAACACCGAGUGGCGAAGGCGGCUCUCGUGGUCUGACC